GACGAACGCUGGCGGCGUGCUUAACACAUGCAAGUCGAACGAAGUGGCGUACGGGUGAGUAACGCGUAAUCAACCUGCCCUUCAGCGGGGGACAACAGUUGGAAACGACUGCUAAUACCGCAUACUGAAGGAGGGGAUUGCGUCUGAUUAGCUAGGCGGAGGGGUAAGGGCCAACCAAGGCGAUGAGCAGUAGCCGGUCUGGAAGGAAGAACGGCCAAGUUGUGACUGAGACACGGCCAAAACACCUACGGGAAACAGCAGUAGGGACUCUUCCGCAAUGGGAGAAAGACUGACGAAGAAACACCGCGUAAGAGAUGACGGCCUUCGGGUUGUAAAGCUCUGUUAGUCAGGACGCGGUACCAGAAUAAAAAGCAACGGCUAACUACGUGCCGACAGACGCGGUAAUAC
rnacentral:rRNA from 1 species